CAUAGCCGUCAUUCACCUCUCUCUCUCAUCAGUCCCUCACUGCCUCUUUCUCUCCUCCUCUCCUCCCCGUCAUUCACCUCUUUCUCUCAUUUCAAACUCAGGCCCUCUCUCCUCUCCUCCAUCAAUCUUCCCCUUAACAACAAGUGAAGAUCUCUAAACCUAACCACUGAUGAACAAUUCUUAGAUAAUUUAGGAUAUCUUUGCCGAAAACUACAACCAUUUUAGAUCGUGAGGUUUUGUUUUACGCAACCUCUGCAAUGCUGGCAUUCUUACUAAUUUUGAAGUACUUGAUUUAUUGCAUACGAGAGGGGCUUCCAAGGAACCUACCCGGGCCAUGGGUUUGUUAAAAUCGUCUAAUUUCAAGGUUUAUGAUUAUUUGGUUGAGAGUGCUGCUUGUGAUUAGACUAGAGAAAGUAUCAAUGAUCUUAUAGAGAAAUUUAAAGAGUAUCAGCUACCUAAAGCUGAGUUGAUAAACAUCAUUAACAAUCACCCCUCUUCUGCAGUCGAAUUGGCUCCGGUUGGACUUUGAUAGAGGAGGAAAUGAGGAAGUCGGUGAAAGCAAUGCAGACUCUGAGGACCUGUCUUUGAUCAGAAAACAGCUUCUUCAGAUAGAGAGACAACAAUCUGAUAUGAUGUUUCUCAUCCAGAGAUUUAUGGGUAAUUCUCAAAGUGGGAUUGGCUCUUUGGAGAAUAGAGUAUCUGGCAUCGAGAGCGCAUUGAAUGAGAUCUCACAUGAUUUAGUUGUGCAAAGAGGAAGAAUUGCCAACAAUGACUUAGCAAGAAGCACUUGCUGUCCUAGUACAGAAUUCCUGAUUCCAAAAUUCUGGAGAAGAACAGAAGGAAGUUCGUCCUCAAUUCCAAAGUCAUCCUAUUCAGGAAGUAUGUCUAGUAGUCUCAAAGCUGCUUCACAGAUGGAUGGUUUUAAGCACCACGAGCAGAACGAAGGCCUGCAGCCAUGGGGAAGUGUCAAAGGCAUAGGCCAAACUGCCCAGAGAGGAAGAAAUUACAGUCCCAGAAGCUUUGAUUCAGCUUCCAUUGCUGCUUGUUUUAAUUUAGUGGUUCGAGGAGCAUAGACUACAGGUUAAUGAAGUUCUUGAAGAUCGUAGUCAAGUUGGAACUAUUUGAAUGCUACUUUUGUUGGUGUUUAUAAUGGGUAAGCCUCCAAAUAUGUAAUUAAUUUAGCUUAGCGAGCUUGUUUUUUUGUACAUGUUAUUGAAUAAAUUGGAUUUUUAACAUUAUCAUUAUACCAAAGGGAGAAAGAUGGUGGGUGGAAGUGGGAUUGGAGACAUGAAGAAGACACAAGAGAUGAUCAAUUUUCUUUUUCUCUAUUUUUUUAGUUUUUUUUCUUUCUUUUUUUUACAAAAGAAACAGCUGAAAAGUCCAUGGCAAACAGCAAAUAUGAGUAUGUUAAGUCCUUUGAAGUACAAAAUUAUGCUGCCCACUCUGAUGGUUGUUGUCAUUGAUGGCUGGAAUAUUCGAAGGUUCUCUGAAGUUCAUAAAUUUGAGAAGCCUCAUGAUAAAAAAAGCCUUGGAGUUGAUGAGUUCAUGCGUAAAUGCGGUCAUGGAGGAAUACGCUAACAUAAUAUUUUCAUAUGGAUAUAGCGAUGAAUUUAGUUUUGUAUUAAAAAAGGAGUCCAAAUUUUACCAGAGAGGUGAAAAGUUUGUGGUUGAAUCUACAUUCAGAUGUUAGUACCUGGGAUUCACAAAUUUCCUUGUUGACAUACUGAUGUUUUAAUUGCUGUUUCAUAUUGCUUUAUUUUCCCCUUUUAUUAUGAACUACUGAGCCUAGUUUAGUUUUAGUUAUUAGGCUAUAAUAAAUGUAAUUUUAUUGGUGAUUGUAUAAAUAUAAAAUUCUUUGUUUUAUCUCAAUUAAUUAAUAAAAUAACUGUGCUAUAAUUUUUAUGCAA